rnacentral:lncRNA from 1 species
UGGGUGUAAAUUCCUCAUAACACUUUAUCAUUUUUUUUUAAUACGGUUCAACUAACAGACUGGCAGGUUAUUGAUUAUUUUUGUAUACAAUUACCAUUUAACAUAUUAAAUUCUUAUUAAAUUGUACUAAUAUCAACUCGUUAUCACAGGAAAGUUUACCAUGGAACAUGCCUUAUAGAUAUGGGUGGCAGACAGUACUAAAGGUAUGUUUAUACUGAUUUACCAC